rnacentral:rRNA from 1 species
AUGAGGACUCUAUGCUGGAGCUGUCACGGAAUUGACGACCCCGCAACAGUCAGUGAGCUCCGCGAUCUCGUGGAGGCUUGUGCGCCGGUCGUGCUUUGUAUUGUGGAAACUCAAAUUGCAAAGUACCGGGUGGAAGGUCUGGCUGGUAGUUUAGGUUUUGAUUGGAGGUCUUUGCUUGUAUUGGAAGAACACUAUCAAUCUUGA